AUUGAACGCUGGCGGCAUGCCUUACACAUGCAAGUCGAACGGUAACAGGUCUUCGGAUGCUGACGAGUGGCGAACGGGUGAGUAAUACAUCGGAACGUGCCCAGACGUGGGGGAUAACGAGGCGAAAGCUUUGCUAAUACCGCAUACGAUCUAAGGAUGAAAGCAGGGGACCGCAAGGCCUUGCGCGUUUGGAGCGGCCGAUGGCAGAUUAGGUAGUUGGUGGGAUAAAAGCUUACCAAGCCGACGAUCUGUAGCUGGUCUGAGAGGACGACCAGCCACACUGGGACUGAGACACGGCCCAGACUCCUACGGGAGGCAGCAGUGGGGAAUUUUGGACAAUGGGCGAAAGCCUGAUACAGCAAUGCCGCGUGCAGGAUGAAGGCCUUCGGGUUGUAAACUGCUUUUGUACGGAACGAAAAGGCUCUGGCUAAUACCUGGGGCACAUGACGGUACCGUAAGAAUAAGCACCGGCUAACUACGUG
rnacentral:rRNA from 1 species